CCUACGGGAGGCUGCAGUGGGGAAUAUUGGACAAUGGGGGGAACCCUGAUCCAGCCAUGCCGCGUGUGUGAAGAAGGCCCUCGGGUUGUAAAGCACUUUCAGUGAGGAAGAACGCCUGGUGGUUAAUACCCAUCAGGAAAGACAUCACUCACAGAAGAAGCACCGGCUAACUCCGUGCCAGCAGCCGCGGUAAUACGGAGGGUGCGAGCGUUAAUCGGAAUUACUGGGCGUAAAGCGCGCGUAGGUGGCUUGAUAAGCCGGUUGUGAAAGCCCCGGGCUCAACCUGGGAACGGCAUCCGGAACUGUCAAGCUAGAGUGCAGGAGAGGAAGGUAGAAUUCCCGGUGUAGCGGUGAAAUGCUUAGAGAUCGGGAGGAAUACCAGUGGCGAAGGCGGCCUUCUGGACUGACACUGACACUGAGGUGCGAAAGCGUGGGUAGCAAACAGGAUUAGAUACCCGGGUAGUC
rnacentral:rRNA from 1 species